rnacentral:rRNA from 1 species
GAAGGUGGCAAGCGUUAUCCGGAAUAAUUGGGCGUAAAGCGUCCGCAGAUUGUUUGAUGUGUCUUUUGUUAAAUCCCGAAGCUCAACUUCGGGGCCGCGAGAGAAACUAUCUUACUAGAGACUGGAAGAGGCAAGCAGAAUUACCGGUGUAGGAGUAAAAUCCGUUAAUAUCGGUAAGAAUACCAAAUGCGAAGGCAGCUUGCUGGUACAGUUCUGACAUUCAUGGACGAAAGCGUGGGGAGCGAAUGGGAUUAGAUACCCCAGUAGUCCACGCCGUAAACGAUGGGUACUAAGCAUUGGGAGUAUCGACCCUCUCAGUGUUGUUUAAUUAAGCUAACGCCUUAAGUACCUCGCCUGGGAAGUACGGUCGCAAGACUA